rnacentral:lncRNA from 1 species
AGGGGACAAUAACUUAGAAGUAAAUUUUUGGUUAAUAUUAUAUUUUGGCCUUAAAAUGUCUUCUACUACUGAAAAUAUUUUAAAUCAUAGCUUUGUUUCUAUUCCCUCUGCUUCAAAAAGACUUGGGAAGGAUUAGAGGAAGUCAUUUCAUUGUUUUCUUUUUAGUUGUCAGUAAGCUGGGUUUUUUAUUACAUUUAUUUCAGAGAAGUAAUGCUACCCUAAACCAAUCAUACCUAGUUUAGUUAACAAGCUCCCAACUAUUCCACUUCUCUAGUAUAUAUUCAAAGAUAAACAAGGUGUAAGAAUGCAACUUGACAAAGGAAAAAUAUCUUUGCAAGCACAUACUCAAAGAUGAAGGAGGAAAAGUAUAGAGGAAGGACACCAAAUGAGGUGGAGGAAUAUGAGAAUGAUGUGUGGUCCAAAGCUAUCUGGUUAUAUUUUGAUGUUGCCAAUAUUGCAGAGCCAAAUUUUUAAUUUGCUUACUAAUAUAUUUGUUGGCCAGAGAUCUAUUUUUAUAUCAGUGUGCCUUGCAUGUAUAUUAACUUUGGAAAGGCCAUGUAGUAAAUGCCUGAGAUGUUGAUGGUUCUUACCACCUCACUGAUUUUUAUGCAGUUGAAAUGUUCAUUCUAUUGCCCAACUGGUGCUCUCUGUUUAAAGUUAUAGAUCUUGUCAAACUGGAACUCUUUUAUAAACUGGGGAAGUGACUUGUUUUUUCACUAAUCCCCCUACCCCCAUAGUCUGUUAGUGGCUGGUCUGUAGGGAAAUAGUAAAAAUUAUUCACUACCUACCCCUACCCUUAACACCACCUUCAAGUAAUGUGAUAAUACCAUUUCUUUGUGCGCUUUGAAAAAAGUUUCAGCUUGCUGCCUCCUUUAGUGUUAUGAAAGGUAUUAUUAAAAGCAUUGUUUGCAAAAAUGCAGGAAGAUGAUGGAUGUCCACAUUAAUUUGGGAUUCUUUGUGAGCUUUAAUUCAAGUUAUUGGCUCAUUCCAACAAUUUUAUUGUUGAAGCACCUUGCUUAGGAAUUUUUAAAUAUUCAUGUCUGCAACACUUGUCUCAAAAUAAAUUGUGCAAUUCUUGUCAAAAAACAGUAAACAAAAACAGAUCU